GACCGGUGGCCUAGUGGUUAGAGCAUCCGCCUCUGAUGCGGGAGGUCGCUGGUAGUGAUAGGGAUGGUCAGCCUGGUGUCA